GGAUUAGAUACCCUGGUAGUCCACCCCGUAAACGUUGGGAACUAGUUGUGGGGUCCAUUCCACGGAUUCCGUGACGCAGCUAACGCAUUAAGUUCCCCGCCUGGGGAGUACGGCCGCAAGGCUAAAACUCAAAGGAAUUGACGGGGACCCGCACAAGCGGCGGAGCAUGCGGAUUAAUUCGAUGCAACGCGAAGAACCUUACCAAGGCUUGACAUAUACGAGAACACUCUGGAAACAGAGGACUCUUUGGACACUCGUAUACAGGUGGUGCAUGGUUGUCGUCAGCUCGUGCUG
rnacentral:rRNA from 1 species